rnacentral:lncRNA from 1 species
UGGAGACAGGUUAUCGAAAUGGCAGCGCUACAGUAGCUAGAAAAAUAGUGUAGAAGCGAUUGCUAACUAAGACCUAAUGUCCACUUAGGCUGUGCGAGGGCCUCCGACAAAAUGACGUAGCCCAUUCAUUUUCAACAAAAGGAAAUUCCUCGUGCCUAAGUUAGCAAGAAGAGAGAAGCUCGGCAAUUUAUGGAGACAGGUUAUUGACACAGCAGCGCUACUGUAGCUAGCAAAAUAUUGUAGGAGCGAUUGCUAACUAAGACCCAAUGAUGCCCUCCGACAAAAUGACGGAGCCCAUUCAUUUUCAACAGAAGGAGGCGAGUAUGGCGAGAGAAACUCGCGUAUUUGAGAGUGACGGGACAGAGAUGGAUGAAGACUACAUUUUUCAAGAACUCCACACCAACAACUUUAUGGUGUUAAUUAAAGGCGAGCGAUGGAGGACAUCCAACAGAAUCCAGGUAACAAAACAAGAAAAUAUAGGUCCUCGUUGCAACCACGGUUGGUCGUGUUUCCCUGCUCAGACGUUGUAUGCAUCAACUAAUGGUCGCGCACCACCUCAUUGACUGUGAAGUAAGGCAACAGAUUGCUAGAAUAUAAUGUGGUAAGCUGAUUCGUACAAUACCUAUCCAGGCAUUGUAAGAUCUUACAUGUGUCAGCAACAUCUGAGCAGUGGAACACAGCCAUUAUCUUCAGGUGAUCUCGUAUUUAACCAUCAAUGUCUGAGCAGUGGAACACAGCCAUUAUCUUCAAGUGAUCUCGUAUUUAACCAUCAACGUCUGAGCAGUGGAACACAGCCAUUAUCUUCAGGUGAUCUCGUAUUUAACCAUCAACGUCUGAGCAGUGGAACACAGCCAUUAUCUUCAGGUGAUCUCGUAUUUAACCAUCAAUGUCUGAGCAGUGGAACACAGCCAUUAUCUUCAGGUGAUCUCGUAUUUAACCAUCAAUGUCUGAGCAGUGGAACACAGCCAUUAUCUUCAGGUGAUCUCGCAUUUAACCAUCAAUACACGUUAAGAUCACCCGCACAGCUGAUCUCAACCGCUCCCUAAAAUCUGAGCUUCAUUUGAGGUGUAAACUUAGUCCUCCUCUCAACCCCAAAAUUUCUAAAACAUAUUCACCCUCCCUACAGGGUGUUAUCUUCAGUUGAAAUAAAACCUGGUAAUCGAGCAGACUAAGGGUUGAUUGAACUAUUUAACAAUCAUUCAGUACAACUGAAAAAAAGUAAUUUCUCCUAUAAGACAGCAAUUAUACUGUGGCAAUAUCAUCAUACAGGUUAUAUCAAUAUCUCAUAUAGAUUAUAUCAAUAUAUUAUACAGGUUAUAUCAAUAUAUCAUACAGGUUAUAUCAGUAUAUCAUACAGGUUAUGUCAAUAUAUCAUACAGGUUAUAUCAAUAUAUCAUACAGGUUAUAUCAAUAUAUCAUACAGGUUAUAUCAAUAUAUCAUACAGGUUAUAUCAAUAUAUCAUACAGGUUAUAUCAAUAUAUCAUACAGAUUAAAUCAAUAUCAUCAUACAGAUUAUAUCAAUAUAUCAUACAGAUUAUAUCAAUAUAUCAUACAGGUUAUAUCAAUAUAUCAUACAGGUUAAAUCAAUAUAUCAUACAGGUUAUAUCAAUAUAUCAUACAGAUUAAAUCAAUAUCAUCAUACAGAUUAUAUCAAUAUCAUCAUACAGAUUAUAUCAAUAUAUCAUACAGAUUAUAUCAGUAUAUCAUACAGGUUAUAUCAAUAUAUCAUACAGAUUAUAUCAAUAUAUCAUACAGGUUAUAUCAAUAUAUCAUACAGAUUAUAUCAAUAUAUCAUACAGGUUAUAUCAAUAUAUCAUACAGGUUAUAUCAAUAUAUCAUACAGAUUAUAUCAAUAUAUCAUACAGAUUAUAUCAAUAUCAUCAUACAGAUUAUAUCAAUAUAUCAUACAGAUUAUAUCAAUAUAUCAUACAGGUUAUAUCAAUAUAUCAUACAGGUUAUAUCAAUAUAUCAUACAGAUUAUAUCAAUAUAUCAUACAGGUUAUAUCAAUAUCAUCAUACAGAUUAUAUCAAUAUAUCAUUCAGAUUAUAUGAAUGGAAAACUCAUUUUAGUGCACUAAUUACUUUUUCAUUUCCAAUUGAUGUAACCCAUUACCUUGUCUAUUAAUUUGUCUAAUAAAGCAUGACUUUCUAUUAUCAAGAGGUCCAGCUAGCUGCAUGUUAAAUUCUGCCCGUUGGUUGCAAUUGGCCAGGCUUGUUUAUGGUUGCAUGCAACAACCAAUGUUUGCGUGCCACAUCAUCUACUGUGCAGUCGGGCAACAGAUUCCUAUAACAUAUAAUGUGAUUAGCUGAUAUGUAAAAUACCUAUCCAGGUGUUGUAAGGUCUGGCAUGCGUCAGCAACGUCUGAGCAGGGGAACACGACCAUUAUCUGCCAGCCUGUCAAUAUGCAUGUCUGGACUGAUAAGUGUUUGGUCUACACGUACCGCCUAUAAAGUUCUAUAACGUGAUCAUUGCUGACAUAGGCCUGAAUGCAGCCUGCCACAGACUUGGGACUAAGUGAACUCAACCUAAUCCUGAUGUUUCUUUUCUUGACCUCUCCGCUGUACCCCAUCAGUGCUCAUAUACCUAAUGCCCCUGGGGCAGACCAACAACAACCCACUUUGAAUGGGUCUGGGCUAGCUGCCAGGUCAAUAAUGGCAUGGCCAGAGAAAACACACACACACAUCGAAACAGGAAGCAGGCCCAUUCUGAUGACAAAUCAUGUCUGCUGGUAAGCUGAAUUCACAGCUAGGGCUGAGACAGAGUUGACUGAGCCUAUGAAUUUUUACACAGUGAGGUGCCCGCGUUUACACACAAAUCACACACGCACGUCACAGGAGGUUGGUGGCACCUUAAUUGGGGAGGAUGGCCUCGUGGUAAUGGCUGGAGCAGAAUUAGUGGAAUUGUAUCAAAAUACAUCCAUUCAUACAUGCCAUUCCAUUUGCUCCAUUCCAGCCAUUAUUAUGAGCCGUCCUCCCCUCAGCAGCCUCCACUGACGCGCGUACUGUACAUACGCACACACAGCUUGGUGCAGUCAAGGAAAGCUGACUGGGGACGACUAAUGAUGUCAAUGGCGUUCGCUAGGUUUUAUUGUACUUUUACACAGUAAAACAUCAACUGAAAUAAACACCAAACUGUCAUGAACAUAACUGAUAUAAAUGUCUAGUUUUAUGUGUUCCAAUGUGUGAAUGCGUUGUUCUUCUUGCUCUGACGGACCUUCAGACUAGUACUCUACUGGAAACACUAUCAAAGACUGUUGCAGAGCAUGAAUUCAAUUAAGACUAUUGCCAGGGAAUAUAGGCUUUCUCGUAUAUACUGUAUGCUCUGUCUAUAAGGGUCAGACUUAUACUGAGAGACAUCCUCGUAUAUACUGUACAGUGAGGGAAAAAAAUAUUUGAUCCCCUGCUGAUUUUGUACGUUUGCCCACUGACAAAGAAAUGAUCAGUCUAUAAUUUUAAUGGUAGGUUUAUUUGAACAGUGAGGGACAGAAUAACAACAAAAAAAUCCAGAAAAACGCAUGUCAAAAAUGUUAUAAAAUGAUUUGCAUUUUAAUGAGGGAAAUAAGUAUUUGACCCCUCUGCAAAACAUGACUUAGUACUUGGUGGCAAAACCCUUGUUGGCAAUCACAGAGGUCAGACGUUUCUUGUAGUUGGCCACCAGGUUUGCACACAUCUCAGGAGGGAUUUUGGCCCACUCCUCUUUGCAGAUCUUCUCCAAGUCAUUAAGGUUUCGAGGCUGACGUUUGGCAACUCAAACCUUCAGCUCCCUCCACAGAUUUUCUAUGGGAUUAAGGUCUGGAGACUGGCUAGGCCACUCCAGGACCUUAAUGUGCUUCUUCUUGAGCCACUCCUUUGUUGCCUUGGCAGUGUGUUUUGGGUCAUUGUCAUGCUGGAAUACCCAGCCACGACCCAUGUUCAAUGCCCUGGCUGAGGGAAGGAGGUUCUCACCCAAGAUUUGACGGUACAUGGCCCCGUCCAUCGUCGCCUUUGAUGCGGUGAAGUUGUCCUGUCCCCUUAACAGAAAAACACCCCCAAAGCAUAAUGUUUCCACCUCCAUGUUUGACAGUGGGGGUGGUGUUCUUGGGGUCAUAGGCAGCAUUCCUCCUCCUCCAAACACGGCGAGUUGAGUUGAUGCCAAAGAGCUCCAUUUUGGUCUCAUCUGACCACAACACUUUCACCCAGUUGUCCUCUGAAUCAGUCAGAUGUUCAUUUGCAAACUUCAAUGGGCAUGUAUAUGUGCUUUCUUGAGCAGGGGGACCUUGCGGGCGCUGCAGGAUUUCAGACCUUCAGGCGUAGUGUGUUACCAAUUGUUUUCUUGGUGACUGUGGUCCCAGCUGCCUUGAGAUCAUUGACAAGAUCCUCCCGUGUAGUUCUGGGCUGAUUCCUCACCGUUCUCAUGAUCAUUGCAACUCCACGAGGUGCGAACUUGCAUGGAGCCCCAGGCCGAGGGAGAUUGACAGUUAUUUUGUGUUUCUUCCAUUUGCGAAUAAUCGCACCAACUGUUGUCACCUUCUCACCAAGCUGCUUGGCGAUGGUCUUGUAGCCCAUUCCAGCCUUGUGUAGGUCUACAAUCUUGUCACUGACAUACUUGGAGAGCUCUUUGGUCUUGGCCAUAGUGGAGAGUUUGUAAUCUGAUUGAUUGAUUGCUUCUGUGGACAGGUGUAUUUUAUACAGGUAACAAGCUGAGAUUAUAUACUGUAUGCUCUGUCUAUAAGGGUCAGACUUAUACUGAGAGACAUCCUCGGGUGGGGUGCAACGAUACAACGUUGCAGACAGAAAUACAAUGCAUAAAGAAGGAGGAUUCCCUAUUCUACAUGGAACUGAAUCAUUUAUGUUCUACACAACAUAUUUCUACAUGAAUUUCCUGUGUUGCACCCUCCAGCACUCCCUCAAUCCCUGUAUGAUUUAUUGGUCAGAUGGUCUGGGAGCUCCACUCACACCAGCCAACUCUGUCAUGUUGAUUCAAUUAGUUGUGGGAUUAGUUGCGAGACAGGCAAACACACACACACACACACACACACACACACACACACACACACACACACACACACAC